rnacentral:rRNA from 1 species
AUGCUUAGUAGCGGCGAGUGAGCGGCAAAAGCUCAAAUUUGAAAUCUGGCGCCUUCGGUGUCCGAGUUGUAAUUUGAAGAUUGUAACCUUGGGGUUGGCUCUUGUCUAUGUUUCUUGGAACAGGACGUCACAGAGGGUGAGAAUCCCGUGCGAUGAGAUGCCCAAUCCUAUGUAAGGUGCUUUCGAAGAGUCGAGUUGUUUGGGAAUGCAGCUCUAAGUGGGUGGUAAAUUCCAUCUAAAGCUAAAUAUUGGCGAGAGACCGAUAGCGAACAAGUACAGUGAUGGAAAGAUGAAAAGAACUUUGAAAAGAGAGUGAAAAAGUACGUGAAAUUGUUGAAAGGGAAGGGUUUGAGAUCAGACUCGAUAUUUUGUGAGCCUUGCCUUCGUGGCGGGGUGACCCGCAGCUUAUCGGGCCAGCAUCGGUUUGAGCGGUAGGAUAAUGGCGUAGGAAUGUGACUUUACUUCGGUGAAGUGUUAUAGCCUGCGUUGAUGCUGCCUGCCUAGACCGAGGACUGCGAUUUUAUCAAGGAUGCUGGCAUAAUGAUCCCAAACCGCCCGUCUUGA